rnacentral:lncRNA from 1 species
GUGCGAUGUAGAAUUGUUUUAUAAACUUUUUAUCUUUAUUUUCUACUGUUGGUGUAUUGUUCUAAUUAUAGGUUUGUUUUGCUUUGUAUGAUUGCCUCUCGAUGAUUGUUGUUGAUGUGAUGACUGAGUUUAGUCGGUGAGCUUUUACGUGGUGUUCAAGAAGCAGAUUGUGGAAGGUUUGGAACUAAAAGGAGGAUAUGAGUUUCAAGGCA